AUAUAUAUUUAAGAAAAAAUUAACAAGCUUCAGCCAGCAAGUAGACUGAGAGCAAUUAAGUUAAAAUAAAAAAUUGAAAUUUGUUAUUAAAAAGAAAUUCUUGAAAUUGAGAUUAGUUGGAGAAACAACCUGAGGCGAAAAAAUAAUGCGGGUGAGGCACGGGGAGAAUCAACGGCCGGUGAGAAUAGUAGGUAGCUCAGAUAGUGUGUCCAUGGAGGAGAGGACUUGGAGGGAAUUAGGGAUUUUCCGGGAGGAUUUUUAAGGGGAGAAAUAACCUGAGGCGAAAAAAUAAUGCGGGUGAGGCACGAGGAGAAUCAACGGCCGGUGAGAAUAGUAGGUAGCUCAAAUAGUGUGUCCAUGGAGGAGAGGACUUGGAGGGAAUUAGGGAUUUUCCGGGAGGAUUUUUAAGGGGAUGGAAGAGUCUUGAGUUUAACUGUACGAACUGUAAUUGUAAGAAUCGGACUCUGCAACUGAAGUCUUUCUCUGUUUUGUUUCUCUGUGAGAUAAGAGAGCGAGAGCGAGAGCGAGAGAGAGGUACAGAGUUGUUUUUAAAUGGGCACUUCUUUUUAAUUUUUUAAUUUUUCCCUGUCCGAGUUUGGGUUGCCCUCCGGUUCGAGUCUUGGAGACUACCGGGUACGGUGUGUCGUGACUUGUGAACGUGGGGAAAUUUUUGUCGAGUUACGAAAUUGCCCUUCGUGUAACGGAUUUCGUCAUGAGUGACAUGUUCUGCUCAGGGCUCUGGCGCAGACUGACAGAAUCUAUGUAAUGGCGUAAAUGAAAAUUACGUCUGCAACACUUCUAUUUUAUCAUAUUUAUAUUUAUUCACACACGAAAAUCAAAUUUUCCGCCAAAAUUUCAAAAAAAAAAAAAAUCACAUUUCCUUCCAAAAAAUUAAAUAAUUUAUUCAUUUUUUUCCAUGACUGACAUAUGACCUUUAAACCUGCUGUACCGUACAUCCGCCUUGGCCGUACAGCAGUUAAAAAAUAAUUAUUUUAUUUUUUAAUGAAUUAAAAGACUAUUUUAUUUUAUAAAAUUUUUAAAAAAUAAUUUUUGUAAUUUUAAAAAAUAAAAAUAUUAUAAUUAUAAGAAUACCGAUGAAUUUAAUCAAACAAAUAAAUCUCAAAAUUCAUGAUGUUAGUUUUUUAUAAUUGUAAUUUCAUUUAGAAAUUAUCAUGUUAAUUUUUCGUAAAUACAAUUUUAUGUAAUGUUUGCAAUAAAAUUAAGUAUAGGGAAGUUUCUUAAUUUUAAUUAUAGGGAAGUUCACAAUAAUUAUAGGGAGCUUUUCUCUUCAUGUUAAUUUUUGUAAACUUCCCUAUAUUUAAUUUAAUUAAAAAAUUAAAUAUAAUUAUAAUUAUAAAAAAAAUAAUUAUAAAAGUUAACAUCUUGGAUUUUUAAAUUUAUUUGUUUUAUUAAAUUUAGGAAUAUUCUUGUAAUUGUAAUUUUUUAUUUUUUAAAUUUUGUAGACUCAGUUGUUUCUACCUUGGAAAUAAUUUUUAUUUUUUAAUUAUUAGGUGUGAAUUUAUUUAUUGGGCUCAUUAAUUUUAACGCAUGACAAAAUAUUGUUAAUAUGUGGGCAGCGUGGUCUUAAAAGGAAGGUAAAAUUAAAUUGAAUAUCAAGCAAGUGAUUAGCUGGAUUUGGAGUUGAUUUUUAUGCCAAAUUUAUCAGCCUAAUUAUUGUUACAUGAUUUUCCCAUCAUGUCUAAUAUUAAUCAGCCUGUUUUAAAUAACUAAUAAAUUAAUUUUAAACAACCAAGAAAUGAAUUAUAUAAACGAACACCAAUUAAUUAGAGCGUCAUAAUUAUGAGAGAUGGCCAUCUGCAUUUUAGAAAUGAUUGCUUCUUUGUAAACGAUUUAAUUGCAUAAAUUUACCUCUUCUAAACUUUCUGUACACAUAGAAAAUGAAUUAAUUUUUGGCACUACUCUUUACUCUUAUAUAUAUAUAUAUAUAGAGGACGAAAAUAUAGAAUUGAAAUUGACUUACAAUAUUUAUAUGACAUGGGUUGGAGCUCUCAACAGUGUUGAGGAGCACCAAUUCGAGUAAUCUUUCUACGAAAAUAUAGAAUUGAGGCAGAUGAAAAAAGAAAUGAAUAUUAACUAAUUAGUUGCAAUUCAUAUUAACUAAUCAUUUUAUCCAGAACAAUGGAUUAUUUGGUCUUUUUAAAUAUUUUGUCAAAGUUUUAUUAUACUAGUUUUAUCAAAGUAGCAUUGCUCAUUUGCCAAUAGCUCAUAGCCUACUCGCCAAAAAAAAAAAAAAAAAAGAGUAGAUAAAAAAACACUUAAUGUUAACUAAUCAGUUGCAAUUCAUGUUAACUAAUCAUUUUAUACAGAACAACGGGCGAUUUAAUCUUUCUAUAUAUUUUGUCAAAAUUUUAUUGUACUACUUUUAUCAAAGUAGCAUUGCUCAUUUGCCAGUGGCUCAAGCCUACUAAGAUUUUUACACGGGUAAAAAGAAAUUAGGUAGGAAUAGAUUGUAAAUAUAUCAAUAAAGUUUUAAUUGUAACAUAUGAUUGGUAUGAAAAAAAAAAGCAUUAUUCGUAAAUGGACACAUGCCCUAGGAUUUUUACAAGGGUUUAAAAAAAAAAAGUGACAAGAGUAGUUCAAUCGGAAAUAUCACCUAAUUAGGGAAUUGGAUGAAUCGAUUAUGUAAAAGAAUACAAGAAUACAAGCAGGAAAUUGCAUGAUUGUGACAAAAAGGAAACUGAUUAUCUAUAUAAUAAUCUAAUUACAUAAUUUUUUUAUUUGAUAGAAUUAAGAAUUUUUUUGAAUUUGUAAAAUUAUUAAUUUUUUAAAAUUAUCAAAAAAAUUGUUCAGAUACAUAAAAGAAUUUAUUAAUGACAUUACCAAAUAUUAUGGAUGCAUAAUUUUCAAUAUUAUGUACAGUACAGAGAGUUGGAUAAUAAGCUCAACAUAUAUUCACAAUUAAAGCUGUUAGACUAAAUUAUGAAUCGUUCAAAACACGAAAAAUAUAGACCCAAUAAAAAUAUUUUCCAUAAAAUAACAUAGCCCAUUCUCUAUAAGAAUAAUCUAAGUAUUUAGAAUUCGAAGUAAAUGUCUAAAUGUAAGAUACAACAAAACGCCAAAAGCGUGAUUCAUUUGUAAAGAAUGACUUAAGUAUACUUUUUACAAAGAACAACAUAGGUCUUAUACUUACAAAGAAUGACUUAGGUCCAUUUUUUUUACAAAGAAUGACAUAGAAAUUUAGAAAAUAUUUCUAAGUAAAAUGUCCAAAGGGUGAGUUUUCAAUGAAGCGCAAAAGUCGUGCUUCUUUAAAGAAUGACCUAGUCCAUUCCUUACAAAGAAUGACAUAGUCCAUUCCUUACAAAGAAUGACCUAAACACUUGGAAAAUAUUUCUGAGUAAAACGCCCAAAGAGCAAGUCUUUGACAAAAUGUCAAAGACAUGAUUCAUCAAAGAAUGACAUAGAUCCAUUUUUUACAAAGAACGACCUAGGUCUAUUCUUUAUAAAUAAUUAUUUAAGCACUUAGAAAAUAUUUUUAAGUAAAACGUUUAAAGGGCAAGUCUUUGACAAAGCACUAAAGGCAUGAUUUAAAGAAAAGCCUAGGUCCAUUGUUUACAAAGAAUCACUUAGAUCCAUUCUUUACAAAGAAUGACCUAGGUCAUUCCUCACAAACCUCACAAAGAAUGACCUACACACUUAUAAAAUAUUUCUAUGUAAGAGCAUACAUGCUAAUAAGCAUUCUAUGGAAUAUGUUUACGGGCAUAUAUACAUUGUAGGGAAUGUGCCUGUGGGCAACUAUAUAUUCUACGGAAUGCGCCUAGGACAAAUACACUUUCUAAAAAUAUGGAUUCUACGGAAUGCGCCUAUGGAGAAAUACACAAUCUAAGGAAUGUGCCUAUGGGCAAAUAGACAUUUUACGGAAUGUGCCUGCGAGCAAAUAUGCAUUCUAUGGAAUGUGCCUAUGGACAAAUAUUUAGUCUAUGGACAAAUACACAAUCUAAAGAAUGUGCCUAUGACAAAUAUAUAUUCUACGGAAUGCGUUUACGGGCAAAUACAUAUUCUACGGAUGCACCUACUAGGAAAUAGACAUUCUAUGAAAUGAGUCUUCAGGCAAAUAUACAUCUUACAGAAUGAGCCUACAUUCUAUGGAGUGGGCCUACGAGCAAAUACACAUUCUAUGGAAUAUGCCUACAUGCAAAUAAAUACAUUCUACAGAAUGCGCUUUCUGGCCACAAACAUUCUACGGAAUGAGCUGACAUGUUAACAAACAUUUUAUGGAAUGUGCUUACGGAAAAAAUAUUGCAAAAUCAAUCCUUUUUGUACGGAACAUGAGUGCCGAAUUCAAGCUCAAGCCUAUUAAAGGUCAAGGGCCCAAAAACAUGAUAAGCGUCUAAAGAAUACUUGUAAUGAAUAAGUAUUGACACAUAUGAAUAUGUGUCUCCAUACAUGGGUUUUGACUGACACUUGUUAUAGGAAAAGUGUAAUAUAAUCUCUCCAAUUGACUCUAAGAUGCUUAUAUAACAGAAAAAAAAACACCCCAUUUAAAGGUAAAAGAAAAAAAGGGCAUAAAAUGAGUAUAAAAACACUGCCCAUCUCACUUUAAAUUUUUUCUCUCUAAACGUUGAGUAAAAUAAAUUGAUGUCAGGGGAUUAUUACAGGCAUAGCAGCCCCCUUUAACAAAUGAGCAAAACAAUUAAUCAUAAGAAGACAUGUGAUUUGAGAUAUUCGCCUUAAGGGGAAAAUAAACCACAAAAUUUAAUUUAGAAAAAUGUUCAAAAUACAAAUCAAUCACUGUACAUUGAGCAAGAAUUUGCAUCAACAAAAGCAAAAAGAAGAAACAUAGAAAAUAAACUCAUAUAUACAAGCUUAGCAUAAAUUCACAAUUAAUUAAAGCCCAAUACGAAAAUCACAUAAAAAUAAACUCUAAAGAAUAAACCAAGGAGGAAUUGACCAAUUCAACUAAAGAAAUUUAUUCAAAUCUUUACAUAAAAAAUUGUCUAUGAAAUCACAUGGUUGUUUAAGCAGAAAUAAUGUAAGAUGUCAAAUUUAAAAUAUAAUGUUAAAAACCCAAAAAGUAACAGUUCGUAACAUAGCAACAUUGUAGAUAGAUAUAAAUUUUUAUAUCUAUCUACAUACAGUAGUGAUGAUAUUUCUAAUAAAUUGUAUUAAAAUAUAAUUCCCUGCCUACUUUUAAAUUUAAGGUUCUUGUAUGAUGCUAUAAUUUUUUUACAGCAUCAAUAAUGUUUUAAUUGUGUACCAUUGAAUUUAAUCAACAAUAUACAAUAUUUGUAUUAAAGAAAAAUAGUUUAAAAAUAAUGGUAAAUAGUUUGUUAACCAUUUAAGGGGUGCAAAAUUUUGUAAAAUAAUUGUGACCACCCUUAGGGUUUGAAGCAAUUCCACUUAAAUAACAUAUUUUAUUUGAAAUUACUUUUCAACCCUACUUUAAAUUUGUAAUGUGAUAAUCUUUUUUAAAUAAAUCUUCCAAAAUAUAUUAUCAUUAAGUAUAAAAUAUGAUAUCAAGUAGGUUAUUUAACACAAAUCAAAUAAAUAAGUUGUAAUUGUAAAAUUUAUAUAUGAUACAACACUAAUAAAUAACACAACUAAGUAUAUAUACUUCAGUAAAUGUCAUAGUUACAUCAAUAAACUCAUUGGUGAGAUUCACUACAAGAAAACUGACAAUAUAUGGUAGCCACUUUAUGACAGAAAUGAUUUCAUAAUAUAAAUAUGAUAGAUUCGUGAUAGAAUUGUGGUCUAUCAAACGAUUAAUGAUGUACUAGUGAUAGAAUCUUUGUAUAUCAAUAAUUUAUGAUAUGUGUAUGAUAGAAUCUUACUCAGUCACAUACAUUAUGAUAGAAAUCUUAUGUUGACAGUGUUUGACUAAAAUUAAAAGUAUUAUUUUAAUUUUUUGAAAAAGUUAAACGCAACAUUUACUUAUGAAAUGAUUUGUGAAAAAACAAAUAAGAAACAAAACAAUGCGUUUAAGCAAAAUUUGAACAAAAAAAAAAAAACCUAUGUCCUAAACACUACACAAUGAAGUCAUCACCACUCUCACUCUCGCGCGCAAAGGCCAUUGAAACCCAAGGCGCAGUUAUCGUCAGUCUCACUCCACAAUCAACUUUGAAAUCCUAGCCACAUUCACCGUUACACCCUCAAUCAAUCAGCCUACACACACCAUAGUCAUCUCCACUCUCACUCGGACAAAGAGCAGUCAAACCCUUAGCACAUUAUCAUCACUGUCACUCUCACAAUCAACGCUUAAAGCCUAGCCAAACUCAUCAUCACACUGUCAAUCGAUAACCUCACUACCACCACCCAAACCCUAACUGUCUAAUUGUUUGCUACAUUUAAGUUUUCUGUACACAAUCAGCCACUACUAGCUCUGAGCAAACGGUAACACCCAAAUAACAUACCCAUUAAUUGAAAUUGAACCAGCCACCAUGACCAUUUGGUGAUGGUGUGACGUGACAUGAACUGUCAACACCUUGACAUCGUCACACACUAGAGGAUUGCAACCCUAAGCCUUCAAUUCCAGGUUUUAUUCUUCUUCUUCACCUAAUUAUGUUUAAGGCCCUAAGUGAUUGAGUGUAAUUUUGUAUUUUGGAGAGUUUACGAGCAAGUGACUGAGUGAAUGACAAAAAUGAGAUGAUGGGUUUAGUUUAGAAGUUGCAUUAGAUGAUAGAGAUAGAGAGAGUGAAGGUUUUUUUUUUUUUCAUUUUCAAUGUAAAGUUAAUACAGUUGGAGAUGGGCAGAGAAAGUUGAGACUGUAUAAGGCUGCUGAUGAGGUUGCUCUGUAUCUGUGUUUGUCAUUUUGCUGGCGAGGAGGCAUGGGGCAAGGUGGUUGCCACCCAUGCUUCCUUAUGCAUAAAUGUGGAAACUUGCAAACCUAGAAAAGGAAAAUACAAAAUAAUAGCAGUAAUCUGGACUUGUUUUUUUUUUUCCUUUUAAUUUGACAAGGUUGUUACUGUUAUAGCUAUGAGAGAGAGAGAGAGA
rnacentral:lncRNA from 1 species